rnacentral:rRNA from 1 species
AUUGAACGCUGGCGGCAGGCCUAACACAUGCAAGUCGAGCGGAUGAAGGGAGCUUGCUCCUGGAUUCAGCGGCGGACGGGUGAGUAAUGCCUAGGAAUCUGCCUGGUAGUGGGGGAUAACGUCCGGAAACGGGCGCUAAUACCGCAUACGUCCUGAGGGAGAAAGUGGGGGAUCUUCGGACCUCACGCUAUCAGAUGAGCCUAGGUCGGAUUAGCUAGUUGGUGGGGUAAAGGCCUACCAAGGCGACGAUCCGUAACUGGUCUGAGAGGAUGAUCAGUCACACUGGAACUUGAACACGGUCCAGGCUACUAAGGGAGGGAGCAGUGGGGAAUGUUGGGCAAUGGGGGGAAGCCUUGUCCAACCCUGGCGAGGGUGUUGAAGAAGUCUUGCGAGUGGAAAGCACUUUAAGUUGGGAGGAAGGGCAGUAAGUUAAUACCUUGCUGUUUUGACGUUACCAACAGAAUAAGCACCGGCUAACUUCGUG